rnacentral:rRNA from 1 species
GAUCAUGGCUCAGAUUGAACGCUGGCGGAAUGCUUUACACAUGCAAGUCGAACGGUAGAGGGGGCAACCCCUCGAGAGUGGCGAACGGGUGAGUAAUACAUCGGAACGUGCCCGAUCGUGGGGGAUAACGAAGCGAAAGCUUUGCUAAUACCGCAUACGAUCUACGGAUGAAAGCAGGGGACCGCAAGGCCUUGCGCGAACGGAGCGGCCGAUGGCAGAUUAGGUAGUUGGUGGGAUAAAAGCUUACCAAGCCGACGAUCUGUAGCUGGUCUGAGAGGACGACCAGCCACACUGGGACUGAGACACGGCCCAGACUCCUACGGGAGGCAGCAGUGGGGAAUUUUGGACAAUGGGGGCAACCCUGAUCCAGCAAUGCCGCGUGAGUGAAGAAGGCCUUCGGGUUGUAAAGCUCUUUUGUCAGGGAAGAAACAGCAGCUCUAACACAGUCUGCGAAUGACGGUACCUGAAGAAUAAGCACCGGCUAACUACGUG